rnacentral:rRNA from 1 species
CCCUUAGAUGUUCUGGGCUGCACGCGUGCUACACUGAUUUCAUCAAAAAGUUUGUUUUUUGGAAGGAAUAAUAAAACAUUAAAUGAAAUCGUGAUGGGAAUAGAUGAUUGCAAUUAUUUAUCUUGCACGAGGAAUUCCUAGUAAAUGUGAAUCAUCAAUUCACGUUGAUUAAGUCCCUGCCCUUUGUACACACCGCCCGUCGCUCCUACCGAUUGAAUGUUCCGGUGAGCUUCUCGGAUACUAGUAUGCCUCCUGGUAAAUUGGUAAAAGAGUGGUGAACCUUGACAUUUAGAGGAAGGAGAAGUCGUANCA